rnacentral:lncRNA from 1 species
AUGGUUAAGAUACUUUUACUUGAGUACUUUAUCGUUUAAAGUAUAUCACUUUAGUAUUUCGUAAUUUUAUUUUUCUUUUUUUGUUAUCUCUUUCAUUAUUUUUUCAUUAAGUUAGUGAGAAAGUUAAAACAUAAAAGUAUUAAAGUAAAAAUUCGGUAGAUCAUAGAGUAUUCCAGUGAGAGUAAUAUUUCAAUACACCAUUGUUGGUAGCCGAAUUUUCCGACCCUUGACCCGGUCAAAGAUCCUCCUCUGGAAGGGCGCCGGAGUAAGGAACGGCUGCGGAUAGUGACCCUCGAAGUUUGCGCCCUUCGGCAAAUCAAGCGAUUCGGCUGAUGAGAGAUCGAGACAGCUGGGUUCGAAAACCACUACUAUCUGUUUGGUUUAGCUGGUAUGAGCCGAAUAUAUAGAGCAGACCGGAAACGAAGCCGGAAGAAGAGCCGAAUGGCUAAAGCAAUAUGAGAUUAGGUCGGCUUGAAGAGCCAAAAUGACUUUCUAUUGAUUGACUGAUGGAAAGUAUAAGGACGGAUAUGUAGUUUACAACGGAGUGAUGCCCGUGGAGCAGACAGACUCUAGGAUUCUAUUUAGCGAACUACUCUUAGAAAAAAGGUAGUAAAAUUAUAGGUAGACUACUUCUAGAAAAUGUAGAAAAUUGCGAGGAAAUAAGGGUGGUCUUUUAUUCAUAGGGAAAAACAUCUUUUUUUAGGGUGUUAUUACCCUAUUUAUAGAUCGCCCCUUAAUCAGUUAUUGCUCUUACACGAUCGGCCAUUAGCUCUUAAUAUCCUGGACCACCUCCAGCCGAUCGGAACCGCAUGCAACUGCUUGCAGUUACUGUAAUUUCCUUCAAUUGGCGUGACGGUUUAGUUUAAAACUUUUCUGGUGCUCCUGGUGCACGGCCAGAUUACUGUCUUUGAAGGGAACACCUCAGCGUACCACCUGUCCGCGUCUAAUUGGCUCAACAACCAUAUAAAUCUUGACCAUUUAUUUUUCUUAAUAGAUAGUUUACAUUUAAUAUGACUCUAGAGGUGACCUACUAUUAAAGCAUAGGUACCAUUUAUCACGUACCAAUUUAAAGGGUAUUUUGAUCUUUGUAAAAUAUUUUGGUCUUCAAAAAAUAAUAGUUGGAUUUCAAAUUACAGCCAAAUUAUAAAUUUAAAUUAAAAAACAACAUUUAAAACUUAAUUAUAAAUCAAAUUCAAUUUUUUUAAAUAUAAAACACAAAUUUAAAAUAAAACUUUUAAUUCCAAUUCAAAAUUUCAAUUUAAAUCAAAAAUUAAAAUUUGGCUUUAAGAUUAAAAGUUCAAUUUAGAUUUAAAUUUAAAAAUUUAAUAUAAAUUUGAAAAUUAAUAUUUUAUAUUACAAUACCAACUUCAAAAAUUAAAAUUUAAAUUUAAUAUUUUUUUGAGCUGGAUACUUAACAAAUUAGAUAUUAUCUAAUUUGGUAAGUUACCAAAGUAAAUAAGAUAUUUAAUAUUUAUAGGAUGCUGAUAAAUUUGAUAUAUACUACUAAUUUUAUUUUCCAAUAUUGUCAUAUUAACUAAUUCAAAUCGGUAACCUGUUCAACAGGUUACUUUAUGUAAAAUUUAAUUAUAUCCUCUACUAAUUAAGAAUUAGAUUUUAAUAUUUAUGGUGCAUCGAAGUAUUCCUUCUAAAGUGAAUACUCGAUAAACAGCAGGAUGGGUGUUUGAAGUUUUUUUCUAUAUGUUUUAGCAAAAAAUUAAUAGAAAUACUGACGAAAGGAGAAAAACGAAAUUGCAGAGUACUAAAAUAAUACACUUUAAAAAAUAUGGUACUAAAGUGAGAAAAUGCUUAAUUAUAGGGGAUAUUUGAUGUUUU